GGAGACGUGGCCGAGAGGCUUAAGGCGGCGGUUUGCUAAACCGUUAUACGGUGAUAAGCCGUAUCGGGGGUUCGAAUCCCCCCGUCUCCGCCA
rnacentral:tRNA from 1 species